rnacentral:rRNA from 1 species
AGUCAUAUGCUUGUCUCAAAGAUUAAGCCAUGCAUGUCUCAGUACAAGCCAAAUUAAGGUGAAACCGCGAAAGGCUCAUUAAAUCAGUUAUGGUUCCUUAGAUCGUACCCACAUUUACUUGGAUAACUGUGGUAAUUCUAGAGCUAAUACAUGCUAACAGAACUCCGACCGGAGACGGAAGGAGUGCCUUUAUUAGAUCAAAACCAAUCGGUGACGCGGCCCCGGCCGUGUCAUCGUACAACAUGGUGAAUCUGAAUAACGUUUGCUGAUCGCACGGUCUCGCACCGGCGACGCAUCUUUCAAAUGUCUGCCUUAUCAACUGUCGAUGGUAGGUUCUGCGCCUACCAUGGUUGUAACGGGUAACGGGGAAUCAGGGUUCGAUUCCGGAGAGGGAGCCUGAGAAACGGCUACCACAUCCAAGGAAGGCAGCAGGCGCGCAAAUUACCCACUCCCGGCACGGGGAGGUAGUGACGAAAAAUAACGAUACGGGACUCAUCCGAGGCCCCGUAAUCGGAAUGAGAACACUUUAAAUCCUUUCACGAGGAUCAAUCGGAGGGCAAGUCAGGUGCCAGCAGCCGCGGUAAUUCCUGCUCCGAUAGCGUAU